CACAUAACCCUAACCCUAGUUCCCAGCCCCGUCCCCUUGCCUCUCUUCUUGCCAGCCGCCAGCCUCCACCUCCCUCAGCACCACCCAAGCCCAUCCACCACGUCCAGAUCCGCGCACCCUUCCCCAGCACCACCCGAGCACAACCACCGCGUUGUCUCCCACAUGGCGUCAUGCUUCCCGCCCCCUCGUCCUCAACACUUGCACCGCGAUGGACACCAGCAUUGCCGCCCUCGCAGCCACGUACACGGUGGAGCUCUCCGAGAAGCUUGAUGUCGAGCGGCAUCUUCACAGUCACGCGCUCCGGCGGAUCCCUCGCCAGGGCCUCAGGAAGCUCGCGGAUUGGUUGUACCUGAAAUGCGUGGAUCGGAGAAAUUGACACUUGUUCUUGGUGGAUGAGAGGGUCGUGAGCAUGAGUACUGUACCUACAAGAUCGUUCUAGAUGGUUUGUUCUCCCAAGGCUGAAGCUUCAACGCAGCUCUCAGAAACCAUGCCGAAGCAAAGAUAUUGAAGGUGGAUUAGCCGAUGCGAGCAACUGCCAUUGGAAAAACUACGUGCGAGCAUUGCAGGGUUCAACAUCUUCAACACUUCUGGGACAUACACAAUGUGUUUCUUCUGUUGCUUGGCCUGAGCAGCGAACAAUAUAUUCGGUAUCAUGGGAUCAAUCUGUUCGACAGUGGGAUGCUCAAACAGGGAGAGAAACAUGGAAUAUGGAUGUUCUACAAUCCCAAAGAACUGGCUACUCGGAAGAAGUGGAAGACAGAUCAAUCCGUUGUUCCUCAUUUGUUGUUACAUGUGAACACAUGAAAUUUUUCUUCCUUCUUCUUUGUUUCCAUGAAGCAGAAGUAGUUUUGGCUUUGUUUAAGUUAAUACUGGAAAAGUAUUGUAUUGACAUUCGUUGGGCCUAUGAUUUGCCGAGGAUUUCAAGGAUGAAGUAUUUUCUGUGAUGUC